rnacentral:rRNA from 1 species
UACGAAGGGGGCUAGCGUUGCUCGGAAUCACUGGGCGUAAAGCGCACGUAGGCGGACUCUUAAGUCGGUGGUGAAAUCCUGGAGCUCAACUCCAGAACUGCCUUCGAUACUGGGAGUCUCGAGUUCGGGAGAGGUGAGUGGAAUUCCCAGUGUAGAGGUGAAAUUCGUAUGAUAUUAGGAAGAACACCAGUGGCGAAGGCGGCUCACUGGUCCGGUACUGACGCUGAGGUGCGAAAGCGUGGGGAGCAAACAGG